CACAAAGAGACCUGAAGACAGAGAGACAGCUGAAGACACGGAGAGACCUGAAGACAGUGAGACAGCUGAAGACACGGAGAGACCUGAAAACAGAGAGACAGCUAAAGACACGGCGACAACAGCAGGACUUUACUGCAGGUGGUCAUGAUGUCACAGCACAACAUCAUCGACUUCUCAGCCCUGGAGAGAGAGCUGCAGGCGGCGGUGGAAUCUGAGCGAAGAUACGAGCGCGAGAACGAAGCCAAACUGAGAGCCUCCAGCCAGAGAGUCUCCUACAGCCAGUUCAGAGACCUGGUCCUGUCCUCCCACCUGAAGCCUCUGGACCAGAAGGACAAAGACGGAGCUCCACGGAAACAACCCUGGAACCCGGUCGUCCCGAGCAACGACUGACAUCCGGUCACACAUAGCAACUCUGACAUCAUCAAUAUGUUGGGAUCAAUUUAAUUCAGAUGAUGUCACGUGUUGAUGUUUCUUUUCCAAACAUGUAAACAUAAACAACAACAAACAGCUUCAGUUCUAAUAAAUAAACGUUAACAUGAAGGCUUCAGUUUGACUGGUUGAGUCCCAGCUUACAGACUGGUUAGUUACCAGUACAGACUGGUUAUUUAGCAGUACGUACUGGUUAGUUACAAAUUUAUGUUUAUUGAUCAAUAAGUUUAAUUGGAUUAAAAUCUGACUGAAAUGUG